rnacentral:rRNA from 1 species
CCCUACGGGACGCAGCAGUGAGGAAUAUUGGUCAAUGGGCGCGAGCCUGAACCAGCCAAGUCGCGUGAGGGAAGACGGUCCUAUGGAUUGUAAACCUCUUUUGUCGGGGAGCAAAAGACGCCACGCGUGGCGUUCCGAGAGUACCCGAAGAAAAAGCAUCGGCUAACUCCGUGCCAGCAGUCGCGGUAAUACGGAGGAUGCGAGCGUUAUCCGGAUUUAUUUGGUUUCAAGGGUGCGCAGGCGGAAGAUCAAGUCAGCGGUAAAAUUGAGAGGCUCAACCUCUUCGAGCCGUUGAAACUGGUUUU